UUUUCUUGGGCCAAUACUUGAUAUGGGUGAUAUUAGUAUUGGAGCAGCUUCAUGGAUGCAAAAGCUGUGUUGAGAAAGAAAGAAAAGCAUUACUAGAGCUCAAGAAACUGUUGGAGCUCAAGAAACACAAUGUCUCAACAAGUUGGGACGAUGUUCUCCCUAGUUGGACUAAUGACACAAAGAGUGAUUGCUGUCAGUGGGAGUCCAUUGAAUGCAAUCGUAUAAGUGGCCGGAUUAUCGGGAUUUCUAUUGGUUUUUAUAACAUCGAUGGCCCUUUUCCUAUUAACGGACUAGAGAACUUGACAAACUUGGAACUGCUAAAUCUGGGUGGAAGCGGAUUUAACGGCACAAUACUAGAACUAAUGAAUUUGACUACCUUGAAACG